AGUGAACGCUGGCGGUAGGCCUAACACAUGCAAGUCGAACGGCAGCACAGUAAGAGCUUGCUCUUACGGGUGGCGAGUGGCGGACGGGUGAGGAAUACAUCGGAAUCUACUUUUUCGUGGGGGAUAACGUAGGGACACUUACGCUAAUACCGCAUACGACCUACGGGUGAAAGCAGCGGAUCUUCGGACCUUGCGCGAUUGAAUGAGCCGAUGUCGGAUUAGCUAGUUGGCGGGGUAAAGGCCCACCAAGGCGACGAUCCGUAGCUGGUCUGAGAGGAUGAUCAGCCACACUGGAACUGAGACACGGUCCAGACUCCUACGGGAGGCAGCAGUGGGGAAUAUUGGACAAUGGGCGCAAGCCUGAUCCAGCCAUACCGCGUGGGUGAAGAAGGCCUUCGGGUUGUAAAGCCCUUUUGUUGGGAAAGAAAAGCAGCAGGUUAAUACCCCGCUGUUCUGACGGUACCCAAAGAAUAAGCACCGGCUAACUUCGUG
rnacentral:rRNA from 1 species